CGCCGCGAGACGGAAUCUGAAGGCAGCCUUAGGCAAACGUCUGGUCUGACGUACAGAAACUUGAUACAAGGCUUAUGUGUCAUGGGUAAGGUUACGCAACAAACUAAAGCCCUAUACUGUCCGAAAUGGCACGGAGUAAAUCAAGCAGACAUAAGGCGGAAAGAAUG
rnacentral:ncRNA from 1 species